rnacentral:misc_RNA from 1 species
GGCUCUCCAAGGCACUCUCUGAGAAUCUCUUCAGUUUUCUCGCAUUUCCUGACGAACUUUCCACGCUCCACCUCCUCCGUCUUGCACUGCGACUUCACCACCUUCCUCGUAGAGCAUACCUUCCCAGAGGAUGAAUCAGGGCUUUUCCAAUAUUCGCUAAUUUCAUCAACAGGCGACGACGACUUGAGCUCGUCUGGCUCGUCGUCUGUCCAAACCCACCCCAUUUUUGGUAUCUAUUGCUGGUUACAACUAGUCUGCUUCUCGCAAAAUCC